AAGAGUUCAGCUGCGUAUUUCUAUCGGUCCUACCACGUACAGUCAAAAAUACAUGUCGACGUACUUGAGUUGCGUCAUCACAACUCUCCACUCCCUCCCUCUCCUGCCAUCACCUGCACACACGACCCACUCGUUUUCACGCACGCACACCUUCUCGGGCUCCACCACCGUACACAUAAACGAGGUGGAGUCGACUCUACUCCGCGUCCAUGCUUGGAGGUAAUCAGCGUUCUCUGAAAAGAAAGAAAAAAGCGGUGCCUCCCUCCCCCCUGGCGAGUGCGCAGAGACUACAGGGCCCAAGAGGACGACACCGAAGCACUCCCCCCCCCCCACACACACACACACGCUUCCCCUUCCCCCUUUCGCGUCUGCUCGCACUCGCCGUGUGCGUGUGCGUUUUCUUGUCCACAAUUCGAGGGUUAUCAGUUUUCUCUUGGGGGAUCGAGGAAAGAAAGAAGUACGUGCGAGCGCGGGCGUGUCUCUCGGGUGUGUACCGAGCAGUCAGAAAACCUCUCUCCUCGCACCCUUCCGUUCUCUCUUUCUUUCUUCCGGGGAGAAGGGUGAGCUGCGUGCCUGCUAGGCGCUGUUUAGACUUCUCGUGUUCCCAGGGCGUGCCUCUGCUUAGUGAGACCGCGGUGGGCCUCUGUUGUGUUUUCUUGUCGUGCCCUUGUUGUGCACUUUUUCACUCCUAUUGGCACUGAAGCGCCUCCAUCUCUCUGUCUGUUUUUCUGUAUCAUUGUGUGUGUGCGUGUUUGUGCGCUCGCACUUUUUCCGUUGUCCUCUUCGCGAGUUGACGAUCACUUCACUUGUGAAGGAUAAGAACGAGGCCGAGGAAGGAGUCGCAGACGUGGGACAGGAUAGGAAGGAAACACCCGUCACGCGCUUGGCUGCUGUGGCUUUUUUUUUUUCGGCGGCUGCUGUUGACUCGCGGUAACUCCGUAGCUUGCGAUUGCGUUUCGGUGCGUUCUUUCGACGGCUGAGUGUGACAGCUGCUGCUGCUGCUGUUCCUCUUUUUGGGUUUUUCAUGUUUUUCUAAACAUCACUGGAUGGCAGCAAGGCCACGCAGCCCUCUUGAACGCUUUCUACUGGGCACCCUAACCUCCUUGUUCCUGCUCUCGCCGCUUUUCCGCUCUCGCAUCAACUCCUUUUCCCCGCGCUGCUGUGCUGGUGUUACGCGACGCAUUCCGCAGUAUUCAUUCUUGUCUUGUAGUUUUAUUUUUCUCUGCUUCAUUUUUCAAGGGCACAGAAAACAACGUAUACGCACGCAGCAACCUUCUCGUGUACUGCCCUCGUUUUUUUUUUUUGCAUUGGCCCAUAUUGUCACUAUGCCGUGGCGUCAGGAACAUUGCAGCGGCUUGUGGCGGUCGGAGGACAUGAUCCGCGUCAACAUUAUCCUUCAGCGAGAGGUCCUGCACGACACCAUGUAUGAGGUUGGUAUGCUGGGCCGCGUGCAGUUCCUCGACAUGAACGAGGGGGUUACUGCGUUUGCCAGGCCGUUCACAGAAGAGCUGCGCCGCUGCGAGGAGCUGCAGCGCAAGCUUCACUUCAUUGAGGAGUCGAUGUGCAAGGACGCGGACUUGCUCGAGAGAUACCCCGGGGACGUGAACAUGAGCGCCACCGUGGAAGAGAUGCGGUCAUCGUUGCUGCGGGGACAAAUGCACAUGAUCGACGACCGCAUCGAGUCGACCGUGAACGAGUUGACCGCAAUGCUCACAUCGCUCGAAGGGUUCCAGCAUGAGAUGAACCAGAACCAGGAGAUGUCACUGCUGUACUACAAGUACAGGCUCUUGGUGGAGACACCGUCCGACAUGGCAGCGAGCAACAGCAGCUCCCCCCACCACGGCGCUGCCGUCAGCUCGGAUGCGUUCUCCCGGCUAGCCAGCCUCUUCGGCUUCAUUGAAUCAAAACUCAGCGAGGAGCUCUACCGCCUCUGCUACCGCAUCACCCGCGGCAACGCCAUCGUCGAGAUCAGUAACGAGCCGGCCAUGUUUGUCGACGUCCAGACUGGCGAGCGCAAUGUGGCCAAGACGUCAUUUGUGGUGCUGUGCGCCUCGCCGACGAUGAUCGUCCGCUUGAAGAAGCUCAUGAUUGGGCUCGGCGCCGACGUUUACACCCUGGACGAGGUGCAGAGUCGCGGUAUCGAGCUCACCACCUCCACCACCGCCCACCACGUCGAGGACACCAUCGAGGGGGUCGAGCGGCGCAAGCGCGAUGUGCUGACGCAGUGGUACGAAGAGCACCGGCUGUACAAGACCUACCUAAAGGUAGAGAAGGUGGUGCUGACGGCGAUGAACAUGUGUGCCAUGUCCGGCUCCACCUGCACGGCCUCCGCGUGGGUACCACUGCGCCACGAGCAGUCCCUUCGCCGUGCGCUGCAAGACGCCGUCGCCUCGGCAAACGGCAGCGUCGAGUCCAUAGUGACGCUCCACGCCGAGCAGAAACACCCGCCGACGUUUUUUGAGACUAACCGCUUUACCGAGUCGUUCCAGGGAAUUGUCGACAGCUACGGUAUGGCACGCUACAAGGAGGUCAACCCGGGCGUGUUCACCAUCAUCACGUUCCCGUACCUGUUCGGCAUCAUGUACGGCGACAUUGGCCACGGCUUUCUGCUGCUCUUCAUCGCCCUCUUUUUCAUCGGCAAGGAAAAAGCGUGGCGGACGGCGCAGCUCAACGAAAUAGUUGCCAUGGUGUUCGGCGGCCGCUACUUAUUGCUGCUCAUGUCCCUCUUUGCCAUCUACAUGGGAGUCCUGUAUAACGACUUCUUUGGCUUUUCUCUGAACCUCUUCUCCAGCGGCUACACGUGGGCCCCGAUCUCGGAGCAGAAGGGCACCACCUACCCGACGACGCCGAACGGGCUUCCAAGUGUGAAGCCGCCGCACGUUUAUGCGAUAGGUCUGGAUGCGGCAUGGACUGAGACAGACAACAAGCUGGAGUUCUACAACUCUGUGAAGAUGAAGCACGCUGUCAUUGUCGGCGUGGCGCAGAUGUUCGCUGGCCUCUUGCUCUCGCUCAGCAAUAGCAUCUACGAGAAGAACUGGUACAAGAUCGCCUUCUUGUUUGUGCCCGAGUUCGUUUUCCUACUUUGUACCUUUGGAUACAUGUCGAUCCUCAUCAUGGUGAAGUGGUGCCGCACGUGGGAGAACACGAACAAGGCGCCGAGCAUCCUGGAGAUCAUGACGAACUUUUUUCUGCAGCCUGGCUCGGUGCCGAACCCGCUCUUCAGUGGACAGGCCGGGCUGCAGGUGUUUCUGCUCCUCGCGGCUUUUGCGAUGGUUCCGUUCAUGCUGCUGGGAAUGCCAUACAUCGAGAUGCGGGACUACAAGCGGUGGCAGCAGCGCCGGCAAGUUGGGGGCAGCCGCCGCCACCACGGCAGAGCGCUGCGGGUCAGCGUGGUCGCAAUCGAAACCUCAGACUACACGGACGUCUUCUUGAAUGAGCCGUCGGCGUCCCUGCAGCACCGGCAGGCCAACUACAGCGGUGACGAGAGCGCGCACCGCAAUUUGAUGAGUGACGACGACGAAACGGCGAACAUCUUCGGUGACGACAGCAUGCAUCCCUUUGGCGUGUCUACAGCGAACAGUGAGGAAGGUGCCACAGCCACGGUGAUCGAGCGCGAAAACGAGAAAUUCGAGCACUUUGAUGUCUCGGAGUUGAUCAUCCACUAUGUGAUUCACACCAUCGAGUAUGUGCUGAGCAGUGUGUCAAACACCGCCUCGUACCUGCGUCUGUGGGCGUUGUCGCUCGCCCACGCGCAGCUUUCCGAGGUCUUCUUCAGCUUCACGGUGGCCAAAACGCUCGACAUCGACAACAGCUCUGGCUUCGUGAUUGCCAUUGGGGUGCUGCUGUGGCUUGGCGCGACACUCGGUGUGCUGGUGGGCAUGGAGGCGCUGUCGGCGUUUUUGCAUGCGCUGCGUCUGCACUGGGUGGAGUUCCAGAACAAGUUCUACGCUGGCGACGGGCGGACGUUCGAUCCGCUGGACCUGACAACCCUCAACACGGGAAACUAGCGUGGCGAGCGGAGGAAUGGAAGGCGGCGUUUUCAUGGUCACCUGCUCUGGGAUGAGUACAAUGCAGGUGGAACCAGGCACGCCAUUGAAAUCGUUUUCCCCCUCUUUUGCGCGUGUGUGGAAGUAUCAGGGAACCCGAGCGGAAACCAAGGGGCACAAGAGCCCGCGAAAGGUGCCAUCGGUGCCACUGGCGUAACCCACGUCUUUCCCUUACCAGCUUUCCGCCAUCGCCUCCUUUUCCCCGCUCCCCGCUUCCGCGUUUUGCCCCACCGCCUCCUGUCGUUUUGCUGCUCUCUUUUUCGCGCCUCAUUGGCGAUGAGCGCUGCGGACAGCUCUGCUCCCGAAUUGCGUACACAACGUCAGUGAAGUGUGUGAGUGUCUCCCUCUCGGCCUGCCGUUGGCGUCUUCCUCUCGUUUUGUUUUCGGCGAUGUGUUUGUUUCGGUGCUCCCUUUCUCCUGUGUCGCCGUACUUUGCUCGAUGGCUUGCGGCGUCGAGGCACAUCUCACGCAUUCAU
rnacentral:misc_RNA from 1 species